rnacentral:lncRNA from 1 species
AAACAUUAAAUUUAUUGAUUAUUAAAGAUUAACUCAAUCAUAAAAAGAAAAAUCCAACGAUAUGAGUUGCUACUUGCUAGACCAUGAUAACGUUACAUGAUAAAAAAAUAAAAAUUAUGAACACAUAAGAAAUUAUAUACAUAAAAAUAUUCAAAAUGUAGUAUUAGGUCGCUAAUCUUUAAAGCCCACCUUGACUAUCUUCUCACUUUUAUCCUGCAUAAAAACACGGAACCAAAAUAAUAGAGGAUUAAUUGAAAAAAUAAAUAAAAAAAAUUUGGGGCUGAAUUGAUUCAAAUAAUGGGGUCGAGAAAAAUACACGCUCGUGUUUUAAUAAAGAUAGUAAGAAUUAUAAAUACAAAGUACACUUAUCAGAAAUGAAAAGCAUAUUAUUAUUAAUUGUUGGUCGACGACAAUGUAGACAAGAGUUAAAAAAAAUUAUACACAAACAAAAAUACGAUAAUUAUUACAAAAGAAAAAGCUAAAUUCUAACGGGACAACGAUGCAGCAGUAGAUAAAAAAGCAGAGAAAAAAGGCACAGUCUCAUAGAUUGAUUUUGAACAAGGUGGAAUUUUGUGGGAUGAAUGAAUUUGUAGGUGUUAUAUAAUUGUGUUUGUAUGAUGAAAAAUGAAAAUAUAAAUUAAAGAUGGAAAUAAAAUCAAUAACAUUAAAAGCAAUAGGAAAAGACCUAUUUUUUUGAAUUUGAAAUUGUUUGACAUUCAAUAAUGUGUUCCAUAAUUAAAAAAAAAACGUUGCAUAUUUAAUAGUGUGAGAUAAAUAUAUCAAAUAAAAUCAUUUUAAUAUAUUCCAUAUUAAAGUAGUAGAUUUGUAUAUUAUAAAGGGGAAAUUUGCUAUAGGUCCUCCUAUAAGAGUUUUUAUAUGUAUAAAUCCAAUUAUUAAUUCUCUAUUUUUAUUAUAUUUAUUAUAUUUAUAGUGUCUAAAAGACCCCUAAUAAAAUAUGGAAAAUAAAACUCUCUCUACCAAAUAAAAUCUCCGAAAUCUCUCUACCAAAUAAAAUUUCUCAAAACUCUCUACAAAAUCAAAUUCCCCCAAAUCUCUCUCUCUCUCUUAUCCCAAUUUUAAUUAAAAAACAAGUUAAUUCGUGAGAAAAAAAAAUAUUUCUGCAAAAAUUCAAACUCUCAAACUUCAUCAAAUACAAACGUCAAAAACGCAAAAAGCAGACACCAACUAAAAAAAUAUAAUAUGUAUUAUUUAACAGCAAACAACAUACUACACUCGACCAAAUGCAAACAAUAAAGUGCAAAGUCGAAUAUGCAUCAUCUAAGUAAACAGUAAAUUCAAAAUAUGAUUAACAUCAUCUAAAUUCAAACAAAACAAAAAAAAAGUUAAUUUAAAAAAAAAUACACAGUACGCAAAUGCAAAACACAACAACAAAAUCUUCAAUGCCAAAAAAUAGAAUUUACAAUUCUCAAAAAACUAUUAUUACGGAUUGCUAUUUGCAGUUUUCAAUUUUAUGUUUCAAAUUUAGUUUGUCAAUUUAAAUUAUUUUGGGUGUUUAGUGAAGCGAAAAAUAAAUAAAAAAUGCAACAAAAAAAUAUAAAUUCACUAUACAUAAAUUUAGAGAGAGGGGGAGAAACAAAUAACUAACAUUUUGUAACCAAGGAGGUGUUUGUUGUCGACCAAGAGAUAAUCUCAUAAUGUAAAGCUCCCUUCUUCUUUCAUAUUCCCUUAUACAAAUCAUUUGGAUUAUUGUCUAUGUAUUUCUUCAACAAAAAACAAAAAAACAUAAUUCGAAAAUAAAGAAAAAACAAAAGGUUUGAAAAGAAAGAGAGAGUAACGAGAG